rnacentral:lncRNA from 1 species
AAUACAAGGUCUACUAGCAGUUUGGUUCUUGAGACUUUUAUCUUAAAAUUUUUGUACACACAGUGAGCUUUCAAAAGUCCUCUAGAAGGAGUUUCUACUAUUAAUAUUUCACUCAAAGGUUCAAGCUUAAUAUUUAACUUAUAAGCAAAAGAAUAAAAAAUAAAAGACUGGGUAGCACCUAUAUCAAUCAAAGCUCGGGCAGUGGUGUCAUCUAUAGAAAGCAUACCUUAGAU